rnacentral:lncRNA from 1 species
UGUACAACUGUGCCUGCUGGUGCUUUCUUUGUGUUCCCUGAGGACAUAAAAGUGGCUGCUGGGUCGGUGCAUCCUGUUUUAGGGAAAACAUACGCUGCACGGAAAGAUCCUGAAUAGGAGCUCACUCGGAGUAGCUUGUGGGCAUCUUUUCUUCUGCAGAGCUUUGGUGUGUCCCAGUGAUCCAGAGCAAACACAGAGGAAGCGAUGAAUAAUACUAUUUCUCUAAAGGAGCAAA